AUAGGAUGGUGUGUAUAGACAGUAGUUAUAAUAGGAUGGUGUGUAUAGACAGUAGUUAUAUAGGAUGGUGUGUAUAGACAGUAGUUAUAAUAGGAUGGUGUGUAUAGACAGUAGUUAUAAUAGGAUGGUGUGCAUAGACAGUAGUUAUAUAGGAUGGUGUGCAUAGGCAGUAGUUAUAAUAGGAUGGUGUGUAUAGACAGUAGUUAUAUAGGAUGGUGUGUAUAGACAGUAGUUAUAUAGGAUGGUGUGCAUAGACAGUAGUUAUAUAGGAUGGUGUGUAUAGACAGUAUAGACAGUAGUUAUAUAGGAUGGUGUGUAUAGACAGUAUAGACAGUAGUUAUAUAUAGGAUGGUGUGUAUAGACAGUAGUUAUAUAUAGGAUGGUGUGUAUAGACAGUAGUUAUAUAUAGGAUGGUGUGUAUAGACAGUAGUUAUAAUAGGAUGGUGUGUAUAGACAGUAUAUGAAUUAGAAAGUGUGUACAGCAGUAGUUAUAUAGAAUGAACCAUGACUAGAAUACAGUAUAUAGACAUGAAGUAGGUAAAACAGUAUGUAACCGUUAUUAAAGUGGUUCCAUGACUCUGUACCGUACAUAAGGCAGGAGUCUCUGAGGUGCAGUUGAACCCUGUGGCUGCGUUCCGAUGUUCCACCCUUCUCCAGAACUCAAAACCAUUGGAUCGGUACAAGUAUGACUGGAGGGGAGUUCCCAUUUCCAUCAUAUUUCUGACACCAGUCCAAUAAUUUUAAAUCCAUAAAGGGAAGUGUACAAGUGCACACCUCAGGGAGAAGGGUAGAGAAUUGGAAUGUGGUAACCUUUGACCUCCAUAAAUGAUAUUUGUGAGGUUAGAGGGCUGAUUGAGCGUUCGUUGCUCUUUACUACUGGUAAAAAAAAAGUUGAAGCCAAGAUCAAGACUCAUCAUAGCCAGACCUGGAUUGUGAUUUUACUAUAAUAGACGUCACAUGACGGUGUGGUGUGGUGUGUUACCUUCACGGUGUGGUGUGGUACGUUCAUGUUGUGGUGUGUUACCUUCACGGUGUGGUGUGUUACGUUCAUGUUGUGGUGUGUUACCUUCACGGUGUGGUGUGGUGUGUUACGUUCAUGUUGUGGUGUGUUCAUGGUGUGGUGUGGUACGUUCACAGUGUGGUGUGGUGUGUUACGUUCACAGUGUGGUGUGGUAUGUUCAUGUUGUGGUGUGUUACGUUCAUGUUGUGGUGUGUUGUGGUGUGGUACGUUCAUGUUGUGUUGUGGUGUGUUACGUUCACAGUGUGGUGUGGUGUGUUACGUUCAUGUUGUGGUGUGUGGU
ensembl:lncRNA